ACCCUCAUCCUGGUGUCCGGCACC
rnacentral:miRNA from 1 species